rnacentral:rRNA from 1 species
CAAGCGGUGGAACAUGUGGUUCAAUUCGACGCAACGCGAAGAACCUUACCUGGGCUCGAAGCGUACCUGACCAUUCGCCGAAAGGCGAACUUCCCGCAAGGGACAGGUGCGGAGGUGCUGCAUGGCUGUCGUCAGCUCGUGCCGUGAGGUGUUGGGUUAAGUCCCGCAACGAGCGCAACCCUUAUCCUUAGUUGCCACCCGCAAGGGGGAACUCUAAGGGGACUGCUCCGGAUAACGGAGAGGAAGGUGGGGAUGACGUCAAGUCAGCAUGGCCUUUAUGUCCAGGGCUACACACGUGUUACAAUGCGCGCCACAAAGCGCAGCGAACCCGCGAGGGGGAGCUAAUCGCAGAAAAGCGCGCUCAGUUCGGAUUGCAGUCUGCAACUCGGCUGCAUGAAGCCGGAAUCGCUAGUAAUGGCGCAUCAGCACGGCGCCGUGAAUACGUUCCCCGGGCCUUGUACACACC